UGUAAGGCGCCGAAUGAGUCAUUAAAAAAUUAACAUCAUCCGAUCCCUAGUCGGCAUAGUUUAUGGUUAAGACUACGACGGUAUCUGAUCGUCUUCGAUCCCCUAACUUUCGUUCUUGAUUAAUGAAAACAUCCUUGGCAAAAUGCUUUCGCAGUAGUUAGUCUUCAAUAAAUCCAAAGAAUUUCACCUCUGACAAUUGAAUACUAAUGCCCCCAACUACUCCCUAUUAAUCAUUACGUCAAUCUUAAGAAACCAACAAAAUAAGAUCGAACGUCCUAUUUCAUUAUUCCAUGCUAAUGUAUUCAAGCG
rnacentral:rRNA from 1 species